CAAUAGCGUAUAUUAAAGUUGUUGCAGUUAAAAAGCUCGUAGUUGGAUUUCGGGGUGGCCUGCCUGGUCCACCGCAAGGUGAGUACUGGUCCGCCGCCCUUCCUCUCGAAAGCCCCGACUGCUCUUCAUUGCAGUGGUCGGGUAGUUCGGGACGUUUACUUUGAAAAAAUUAGAGUGUUCAAGGCAGGCUCUCGCCUGAAUACAUUAGCAUGGAAUAAUGGAAGAGGACCUCGGUCCUAUUUUGUUGGUUUCUAGGGCCGAAGUAAUGAUUAAGAGGGACAGUUGGGGGCAUUCGUAUUUAAUUGUCAGAGGUGAAAUUCUUGGAUUUAUGAAAGACGAACUAGUGCGAAAGCAUUUGCCAAGGAUGUUUUCAUUAA
rnacentral:rRNA from 1 species